UACGUAGGGUGCAAGCGUUAAUCGGAAUUACUGGGCGUAAAGCGUGCGCAGGCGGUUCGCCAAGUCAGGUGUGAAAUCCCCGGGCUCAACCUGGGAAUUGCGUUGGAGACUGCAAGGCUGGAGUCUGGCAGAGGGGGUAGAAUUCCACGUGUAGCAGUGAAAUGCGUAGAGAUGUGGAGGAACACCGAUGGCGAAGGCAGCCCCCUGGGUCAAGACUGACGCUCAUGCACGAAAGCGUGGGGAGCAAACAGG
rnacentral:rRNA from 1 species